rnacentral:rRNA from 1 species
GAGUUUGACAUGGCUCAGAUUGAACGCUGGCGGCAUGCCUUACACAUGCGAGUCGAACGGCAGCAUGAUCUAGCUUGCUAGAUUGAUGGCGAGUGGCGAACGGGUGAGUAAUACAUCGGAACGUGCCCUGUAGUGGGGGAUAACUAGUCGAAAGAUUAGCUAAUACCGCAUACGACCUGAGGGUGAAAGUGGGGGACCGCAAGGCCUCAUGCUAUAGGAGCGGCCGAUGUCUGAUUAGCUAGUUGGUGGGUAAGGCCCACCAAGGCGACGAUCAGUAGCUGGUCUGAGAGGACGAUCAGCCACACUGGGACUGAGACACGGCCCAGACUCCUACGGGAGGCAGCAGUGGGGAAUUUUGGACAAUGGGCGAAAGCCUGAUCCAGCAAUGCCGCGUGUGUGAAGAAGGCCUUCGG